rnacentral:piRNA from 1 species
UGGCUGUUGAUGCAAUUGCUUUUGGUGU